rnacentral:lncRNA from 1 species
CCAGGAACGCAGCCACACAAUGAUGAUGGGUGUGACCUGAGAAUUACAGUGAAAGAACUAUUUUCCAGUCUUUACCCAGUGAGGAUGCGCCAUCUGACCCUGCAGCUGUGUGUGGUUGUGAGCACAUCUGCUGCAGGAUAACCCUUGCGUGCCACAGCACUGACUGCGUAUGUAAAAGCUUAAACCCUGAGACCAAUGUCUCCUUCUACUUGCCUUUCACAGAUUUUCUGUUUGUUUUAACUCUAGGAUAAUGUUAUUACCCUAUAUGAGAAAGUAAGGGAUUUUCCUAAGAAGGUCUCACGUUGCCAUGUGAACUGGAAUAUUUUAGAUACAUCCAUAGUCCUCAUUCAAAAACGAGACGUGAGAGUCAUUCGGAGACCUUGUUGAAACACAGAUUGCUGACACCAUCUUCACUCCAGGUGCUUUGGGAUCCAAGAGUUGGGAGCACAUUUUCUCGUCCUGUUCCUGUGGGUACCAACCUUUUAAGGUGUCUGGAAUUGAGGGAAUCG